CCUACGGGAGGCAGCAGUGGGGAAUAUUGUACAAUGGGGGGAACCCUGAUGCAGCAACGCCGCGUGGGUGAAGAAGUACUUCGGUAUGUAAAGCCCUGUCAGCAGGGAAGAAAAUGACGGUACCUGACCACGAAGCCCCGGCUAACUACGUGCCAGCAGCCGCGGUAAUACGUAGGGGGCAAGCGUUAUCCGGAUUUACUGGGUGUAAAGGGAGCGUAGACGGCAAGGCAAGUCUGGAGUGAAAGCCCGUGGCUCAACCACGGGACUGCUUUGGAAACUGUGUUGCUGGAGUGCAGGAGGGGUAAGCGGAAUUCCUAGUGGAGCGGUGAAAUGCGUAGAUAUUAGGAGGAACACCGGUGGCGAAGGCGGCUUACUGGACUGUAACUGACGUUGAGGCUCGAAGGCGUGGGGAGCAAACAGGAUUAGAUACCCGUGUAGUC
rnacentral:rRNA from 1 species